rnacentral:rRNA from 1 species
UGGGGAAUCUUGCGCAAUGGGCGAAAGCCUGACGCAGCGACGCCGCGUGCGGGAUGACGGCCUUCGGGUUGUAAACCGCUUUCAGCAGGGACGAGGCCGCGAGGUGACGGUACCUGCAGAAGAAGCCCCGGCUAACUACGUGCC